GGGGUUGUGGCUCAGUGGUAGAGCACUCACCUAACAUGUGUGAGGCACUGGGUUCGAGCUUCAGCACCCACA
rfam:Ictidomys tridecemlineatus contig030910, whole genome shotgun sequence.